GGGUGUAAACCCUAGCCGCCACGUCAUACCUCUCUCUCUCUUCGUCAUCUUUAGACAAAAAUGGCAAAUUUGCAGAGUCGUUUGCUUUUUACAGACCAUGCAUGGUCGAUUAAGGAAAAGUAUUCAAUGCUCCGUCCUUAUUCCACCGUAUUCAACAACAAAAAGGAGCAAAGAGAUCUUCAAACUCCAAUCUCGACUCAAGGCUGCACAAAGAAAAGGUGUAUACAGAUGAGUAGAGGACAUUGCUAGGAGAUGUACCAGCUGGAUUGGCGAGCUCCAUUUCCUCCCGGAGUGUUGCCGAGUCAGAGUAUUCAUGAUUAUGGUAUCCUGAUUUAUGUUAGAGACUUUGCAGACAGAGUCACAUGUACAGCAUGUCAGUCUUGUAAGCGGCUCUGCAAGCCGUCGUACCGUUAUGCAUUAUGUUACAAAUUCCAUAUGAUUACAGAUUUUACUUGAUUUGAG